rnacentral:lncRNA from 1 species
GAGGGGCGCACCGCAGUAUGUGCAGCAGGUGCGAUCACCCAUUACUGCUUAAUGUUGCUGAUUGCUAAUGAGUUCACUUCAGUGUUCUGGUUUAGCUGAUUAAACUGCGUGCUGUGUUGCGAUUGUCUAUAUUGAGGGUACCCUGCUCUUCCGUUCUGUGAUCCAGGUACUUUCUAACAAACUGAUACCAAACAACAUACUUUUUUUAGUGUAUUCGUAUCUGUGAAGUGCUUGAGUGGUGAAGUCUAAUUGCAAUUGGCAGCACGUAAGACAAUGGCUGAAGUUCCCUCUCUGCUCCCACUGUAGAGUGAGGGAUGGUGUGGCCUGAGACCUACAGGGGGCGCUACAAUACACUGGACUGAAAAUGGAACUGCAUGGAAUUGGAAAGUGGUGCAUUAUUGAGUCUCCCCUGUCAGUGUCUUGUACGCUCGUCAUCAGCAGUGAUGGCUGCAGCUGCUGUCUGCUGCCUCUCCCUGAUCCAUUUCUACACGUGGAUGUCCUGACCAUGCCCCGUCGCUGGCGUUGUUUCUGGCACUGCAGUGUGUCAGAGGAGCUCCAGGGGUGUUUUCGUCCUUCCGAUGUGGUUUUGCAAAAGCACUGCAGAGAUUUCCAUCAAGCCUGGGGCACCACUGCGUCCGGGACAGCACCAUUCUUGUGCGCGAUUUAUGGCGGACGGAUGCGAGGGUCUUCUUAAGAAGAGUGUUUCCUGCUUUUCGGACAGCACCUCACUGACCUUGGGUGUGCAUUCCUCUUCUUUUUAUCCUAUUUGAAGUUUUACUUGUUAGUCACUGAUAGCUCUUCUACAGGAUGUGCACGGACCUCUCCUUCGCACUAGCAAGCGGUAGUUAAUGUGUGGCAGUCAUUGAAGGUGUCCACGCUGCUCUGGCUGCAGCUGUAUGUAUACAAUACACACAGACCCCUGGGAAAUUAAGGGUGUGACAAAGCAGGGAGAAAAAUAAUAACACUUUGAGUUAAUAGGGUAUGUUUCAUUGCAAACUAUGUCAAAGUGCUUCACCAGCACAAGGGCCC